UUCAGGGAUGGAAGGACUGUUCUGAUCCGCUGAAUACAUGCAGGAGAGGAGCAGGCUCUCCUGAUGCAGAGGUACAGAUCAGAGUUACUGUGGCACAGAUACAGGAGACCAGGGGGAGCUACGUUAGCACCCAUGGGUGUUCACUGUGCACUUUAAUUCAGCCUCAGAUCUUUCACAAAGUGCAGAUAGAUUAACACACUGAAGCCAAUAAUGACAAAAACAUGGUGACUCUGCACAGAAU